rnacentral:rRNA from 1 species
CGACGCUGGCGGCGUGCCUAAUACAUGCAAGUAGAACGCUGAAGAGAGGAGCUUGCUCUUCUUGGAUGAGUUGCGAACGGGUGAGUAACGCGUAGGUAACCUGCCUUGUAGCGGGGGAUAACUAUUGGAAACGAUAGCUAAUACCGCAUAACAAUGGAUGACACAUGUCAUUUAUUUGAAAGGGGCAAUUGCUCCACUACAAGAUGGACCUGCGUUGUAUUAGCUAGUAGGUGAGGUAAUGGCUCACCUAGGCGACGAUACAUAGCCGACCUGAGAGGGUGAUCGGCCACACUGGGACUGAGACACGGCCCAGACUCCUACGGGAGGCAGCAGUAGGGAAUCUUCGGCAAUGGGGCAACCCUGACCGAGCAACGCCGCGUGAGUGAAGAAGGUUUUCGGAUCGUAAAGCUCUGUUGUAAGUCAAGAACGGGUGUGAGAGUGGAAAGUUCACACUGUGACGGUAGCUUACCAGAAAGGGACGGCUAACUACGUG